rnacentral:ncRNA from 1 species
GCGCGCUACACUGACCGGAUCAGCGUGUGCUCUCCUUGGCCGACAGGUCCGGGAAACCCGUUGAACCCCGGUCGUGCUAGGGAUAGGGAAUUGCAAUUAUUUCCCUUGAACGAGGAAUUCCCAGUAAGCGCGAGUCAUUAGCUCGCGUUGAUUACGUCCCUGCCCUUUGUACACACCGCCCGUCGCUACUACCGAUUGAAUGGUUUAGUGAGGUCCUCCGAUUGGACCCGGUCCGGGCGGCGACGUCCGAGCCGGCGUCCGAGAAGACGAUCUAACUUGAUCAUUUAGAGGAAGUAAAAGUCGUAACAAGGUUUCCGUAGGUGAACCUGCGGAAGGAUCAUUA